rfam:Brassica napus, WGS project CCCW01000000 data, contig: 10294
GUCGAGUUCAGUAACGCGGGCUUGUGAUCCAUGUGGAGACUAUGAAGUGAUGGGACGUUGGGUCGAUCUCAUUGGGCCGGGUUCGGGUUGGGCUUUAUUCUGGCCUGCCCAUACCAAGUUGGGAGUCGAGGCAUGGUUCUUGAGCGAAGGCUCGGGAGUUGUGUUUCUUAGAGUGGGGGAGACUGCGUGAGGCUGGUUUCACAGAACAGCGUUUCACCUCCCUCUCUUGACGGUGGAAGGAUAACGGGCCAUUGCCUUCCGAGCCCACUAUGACCCAAUAAGCCGUUUCCGAUUGAACCAUCACUUUU